GUUGUUUGUGAUGUCUGUUAGUGUUAGUACAAUUCAGGCAAUUUUUCCUCUCAUGCAUUAGUAUGUGUGGUAUUGACGUUUGUUUGUUUUGGAGUCAAUUCAGAAGUCGCAAGUGAUAUGGAUGCCGAAAUUUUUAUUUCGCUGCUAUGGAACAAGUUAAGUGAUGAACCUUUCUGAUCAAAGCGAAGCAAUGGUCACAGGCGCACGAGGGCAUCAUGGAGUAUAUUGCCAUGGAUUGUGUUAUUAACGACAACUUCCCUUAUUCGAAAUCAGUAUUGAUCGAGAUCAAGGAUGUGAAAUAAAUUUCCAACUGGUUCAUCAAGGGCAAAAUUUUGAGCGACUUCAUCGAGCUGAAUGUGAAGGUUUUUAAAUAUGGUCCACCUAAUCGCGCAGAACGCAGAGAAACCGAUUCACAGUUGUGGUACUUUGCGAACCACCAGUGGAGGUAGAGGUAUCGUGCUGGGAAUAACCGGCGAAGAUGGUGAUAACUCGGCCGAUAAACAUCCGCUUGAUCUGGUGGAGGAUUAAAUGUGAUAAAUGUCAGUAAUACUUGCAGUGUAAUCUCAUAGUGCAUCAGCAGUGCUCGGCCACGAGAACCGUGCGCAGCGGAAACUGGCAGUAGGACGGUAACGUUGACCAGCCGUAGUCACCAGGCCUUUGGAAUUGGUCUUUGCUAGCAGUUUAGCGUGGCCGAGCUGCCGGCGCCGCAGAUCGUCAUAAUACUUUGCAACGAGCUCGAACAGAAAGUGAUGUUUAACUUGAAUCUGGAUCUGUAUAAUCUGUAUUGGACGACGUCACCGAACGACGAUGAGGUUAAACUGCGUGACUCACUCAACGGAAAUCUAAUCAACGCCGAUCUGGGCAGCUAUUCACCGGAGUGUGUAGCCACGGUGCUAAAGAAGUUCUUACGGGAGCUGUCCGAUCCGAUCAUUCUGGUUAUGUUUUACGACAAAUUCGUCGUAAGCCUCAAUGAUGCGUAGCAAUCCGAUUGCAUAUCCAGGAUCUGCCAAUUUACCACAACAUGACGCUCAAGUAUAUCAUGAUACAUCUGAUACGAAUAUGCCAAAUGCAGUACCAGCGGGAACUGAGAGAGGAACCGACAAUACUGAUGCAAGUGUGGUGCCAUAUUCUAAUGGUCCUUCUAGGGAGAAAAUUUUGUAAUCAAAUCUUGUGUAACACGGAAAACCACUUGCGUAUAAUGGAACUGUUGCUCUAUAAGCUGGACUGGAACAAAAAACUACCAGAAUUUCUGUCCGCUCCUGCGGUACCACAACGGAAAAUCUCCCGAAGUACGGUUGUUUUACAGCAGCAGUAGCAGUAACAACAAAUAUCCGGUUCAUCCACUGUUUUACCAGCAGAAUAGGCUGCUUCAAAAAGUCUGCGAUAACAUCCCCGGCAUCUGUGAUACAAGCGUCCUUGGUUGGGGUGUAUAAUAAGGCCGGUAGCAAUAGUAGUAAUGGAAUAGUGGCUGCCGAAAGUCGUGGGACAGCGUUGAUACGAGCAGUUGAUGAUGCAAACACCAGCUGAUCUGACGAAUCAAAUCGACUGGUUCCUUCCUCGAGUUCCAAUUUUAUUUAUAUAGAAAUAAUUAUUUAUAAUUUUUAUUGAUUAUAAUAAAUUUAAAAAAAAAGAAAAUAUUAUAUAAGUGUCUUUACAUCAUAUUGAACGAGAAUGAGUAAUUCAAAACAACUACUUUAUUGGAAAUA